UAGCUAUUGGGUUCAUACCCCAUUUAUAAAGGGCAAUAGGGUUCACACCCCAUUUAUAAAGGUUCAAUCCUUUUCUUUUUA
rnacentral:tRNA from 1 species